GACGAACGCUGGCGGCGUGCCUAAUACAUGCAAGUCGAGCGAGCAGAUGAGGAGCUUGCUCCUCUGACGUUAGCGGCGGACGGGUGAGUAACACGUGGGCAACCUGCCCUUAAGACUGGGAUAACUCCGGGAAACCGGGGCUAAUACCGGAUAAUUGAAAGAACCUCCUGGUUCUUUUAUGAAAGGCGGCUUUUAGCUGUCACUUAAGGAUGGGCCCGCGGCGCAUUAGCUAGUUGGUGAGGUAACGGCUCACCAAGGCAACGAUGCGUAGCCGACCUGAGAGGGUGAUCGGCCACACUGGGACUGAGACACGGCCCAGACUCCUACGGGAGGCAGCAGUAGGGAAUCUUCCGCAAUGGACGAAAGUCUGACGGAGCAACGCCGCGUGAGUGAAGAAGGUUUUCGGAUCGUAAAGCUCUGUUGUCAGGGAAGAACAAGUACCAUAGUAACUGAUGGUACCUUGACGGUACCUGACCAGAAAGCCACGGCUAACUACGUGCCAGCAGCCGCCGUAAGAC
rnacentral:rRNA from 1 species